rnacentral:lncRNA from 1 species
AAAAAAAGAGGGCUUAUUAUAUGAAAACUAAGCAAAAGGACAAAAAGUAACAAGACAGUUGAGAACAUUUGGCAUCUUGGACUUUAUAGUUUGAUUAGAAUAUUGUGGAAGGAAAAUAUGCCAUCAAGCCAACUUGGUAUAUUCUUAUGAUACAAACUGCAAAGUUUAAAUGAUUGCAACAGAGUGCCUUUCACUUUGUACAUGAUUGUCACUUUCUGGUAGUAUUGCCGGGGAAAGUAAGCAGAUUGGUGAACAAUAAUAUCAUGAUAUAUAAUUAAAG